rnacentral:rRNA from 2 species
GGGAUUGCCCUAGUAACGGCGAGUGAAGCGGCAACAGCUCAAAUUUGAAAUCUGGCGCAAGCCCGAGUUGUAAUUUGUAGAGGAUGCUUCUGGGUAGCGGCCGGUCUAAGUUCCUUGGAACAGGACGUCAUAGAGGGUGAGAAUCCCGUAUGUGACUGGCUUGCACCCUCCACGUAGCUCCUUCGACGAGUCGAGUUGUUUGGGAAUGCAGCUCUAAAUGGGAGGUAAAUUUCUUCUAAAGCUAAAUACCGGCCAGAGACCGAUAGCGCACAAGUAGAGUGAUCGAAAGAUGAAAAGCACUUUGGAAAGAGAGUUAAAAAGCACGUGAAAUUGUUGAAAGGGAAGCGCCCGCAACCAGACUUUGCGGCAGUGUUCGGCCGGUCUUCUGACCGGUUUACUCGCUGUCGUGAGGCCAUCAUCGUCUGGGACCGCUGGAUAAGACCUUAGGAAUGUAGCUCCCCUCGGGGAGUGUUAUAGCCUCUGGUGAUGCAGCGCGUCUCGGGCGAGGUCCGCGCUUCGGCAAGGAUGAUGGCGUAAUGGUUGUCGGCGGCCCGUCUUGAAACACGGACCAAGGAGUCUAACAUCUAUGCGAGUGUUCGGGUGUCAAACCCCUACGCGUAAUGAAAGUGAACGGAGGUGGGAACUUUUUGUGCACCAUCGACCGAUCCUGAUGUCCUCGGAUGGAUUUGAGUAAGAGCAUAGCUGUUGGGACCCGAAAGAUGGUGAACUAUGCCUGAAUAGGGUGAAGCCAGAGGAAACUCUGGUGGAGGCUCGCAGCGGUUCUGACGUGCAAAUCGAUCGUCAAAUUUGGGUAUAGGGGCG